rnacentral:rRNA from 1 species
AUUGAACGCUGGCGGCAUGCCUUACACAUGCAAGUCGAACGGUAACGGGCCUUCGGGUGCCGACGAGUGGCGAACGGGUGAGUAAUGCAUCGGAACGUACCUUUCAGUGGGGGAUAACGUAGCGAAAGUUACGCUAAUACCGCAUAUUCUGUGAGCAGGAAAGCAGGGGAUCGCAAGACCUUGCGCUGAUUGAGCGGCCGAUGUCAGAUUAGCUAGUUGGUGAGGUAAAGGCUCACCAAGGCGACGAUCUGCAGCGGGUCUGAGAGGAUGAUCCGCCACCCUGGGACGGAGACACGGCCCAGACUCCUACGGGAGGGAGAAGUGGGGAAUUUUGGACAAUGGGGGCAACCCUGAUCCAGCCAUGCCGCGUGAGUGAAGAAGGCGUUCGGGUUGUAAAGCUCUUCCGGCAGGGAAGAAAGCGCAUGGGUUAAUACCCUGUGCGGAUGACGGUACCGGCAUAAGAAGCACCGGCUAACUACGUGCCAGCAGCCGCCGUAACAC